UGCUUGUCCACGAAAUCUAGUUGCAAUGAGAGGCACAUGUUUACAAGUAGGAACCUCCUUAAAUUCCAAGACCUCCACUGCAGUCACCCAAUCCAAGAAUUCUUCUGGACUUAAUUCGCCUUGGAAUCAGGGAUAUCAACCUUAAAUCCUGAUUCCCAACGUCUAUUCUCUUCCUUGCCACCUUUUCUCCAUCAGAUUGCCAGAUCUAUUGGAUGAUCAAAUGGUGCAAAUGGAUUUUUAUCUUCAGAAUCCUCAAGCAGUUGGGCCACAGGUUCACGCUGCUGUGGCACAAGUGCAAUGAUUUGCUGGGUCAACAACUCCACUUGUUGAUGCAGCUGUACGAUCUCAUCACAUCUAUUCACCUCCUCUAUUGAGGCUUCGCGGGCUUCUGGACGUCUUUUUGGCGGCAUGGCAAAGGAACGAAUGUAGCUAUGAUACCAACUAAUGUAGCAGAAGGUUAUAGAAAAGAUGAAAAACCCAUGAAAAGAUUUUGUUUCUGUCAAUCAAUGCGGUUACAAAGAGCUUACAAUAUUUUAUAUAGGGAAA
rnacentral:lncRNA from 1 species